rnacentral:rRNA from 1 species
AACAGGAUUAGAUACCCUGGUAGUCCAUGCCGUAAACGUUGGGCACUAGGUGUGGGGGACAUUCCACGUUUUCCGCGCCGUAGCUAACGCAUUAAGUGCCCCGCCUGGGGAGUACGGCCGCAAGGCUAAAACUCAAAGGAAUUGACGGGGGCCCGCACAAGCGGCGGAGCAUGCGGAUUAAUUCGAUGCAACGCGAAGAACCUUACCAAGGCUUGACAUAUACUGGAUCGCCUCAGAGAUGGGGUUUCCCUUCGGGGCUGGUAUACAGGUGGUGCAUGGUUGUCGUCAGCUCGUGUCGUGAGAUGUUGGGUUAAGUCCCGCAACGAGCGCAACCCUCGUUCUAUGUUGCCAGCACGUUAUGGUGGGGACUCAUAGGAGACUGCCGGGGUCAACUCGGAGGAAGGUGGGGAUGACGUCAAAUCAUCAUGCCCCUUAUGUCUUGGGCUUCACGCAUGCUACAAUGGCCGGUACAAAGGGUUGCGAUACUGUGAGGUUGAGCUAAUCCCAAAAAGCCGGUCUCAGUUCGGAUUGGGGUCUGCAACUCGACCCCAUGAAGUCGGAGUCGCUAGUAAUCGCAGAUCAGCAACGCUGCGGUGAAUACGUUCCCGGGCCUUGUACACACCGCCCGUCAAGUCACGAAAGUUGGUAACACCCGAAGCCGAUGGCCUAACCCCUUGUGGGAGGGAGUCGUCGAAGGUGGGAUUGGCGAUUGGGACUAAGUCGUAACAAGGUAACC